CUCGCUCGCACCCACCUAUCUUCCAAAAACCUCCCGAACCCCUCUCACAACUUUUCAUCACUCGCCUUCUCCAUCCAACUCCUCCUCUCACGCCCUCUCGCCUCCGUCUCGCCUGCCACCGCUGCCAUCGUUUCCGCGCAAGGGCAACUCACGUACGACUCCACCUCCUCUUCUGCGUCCGCUCGACAGCUAAAGUGGUUCAACAUUGGAGAGGGUUGUCUUGUAUUUGAAGGCCUCUUCGAGUUCUACCAGGCCUCCACUGACGGCUCCAUCGGCGCCGCCGUGAAGAUCAACCGCGAAGAUGCCGACAUUGCCAUCAACUGGGUCGGCGGACUACACCACGCCAAGAAGUGCGAGGCCUCCAACUUCUACUAUGUCAACGACAUUGUCUUCGACAUCCUUGAGCUCCUUAAGUACCACAGGAAGCUCCAUCGACAUGAGGACGUUCUCACAAGGCGGCUACGAGCUUUUUGUUAGCCUUGUUGUAGCUCCUGACAUCUGUAAGCACACAUCAAAAUCUCUCCUUUCCUCUUGUUUUUAUCAGAAUCAAAAGGUUUCAGAAUAACAAAUUCCGAAAAGUAAUCUAAGAGGUUCGUGAAGAUCAUAGUCAUUGCUACAACUUUGGGCAUCCUUUUGUUCUUGAUCGCGCCUGUGUUCAUUUGGUGGAGAAGGAAAAGAAUCGAAAGUAUGUAUGCUCAACCACUCAUGUUAAAUAUUGCCGACUAGGUGUAUGAUGAAAUGUCCUUAUGAGUUAUACUUGUUGAUUGGUAUUUAUUUUUCACAUUUAACUACUACAUUUAGCUGUAAGUUUGUUCAAUGACACAUACUCAUUUGCAACAUAAAGCAAAGUCAUCGAGGUGAACAAGAAAAAAAAUAUCACCUGGCAAAGUGACAAAGAUCACAAAUUUGGUAGUGAUGUCUACCCUAAAUACUUCCAGCAGGGAGGUUUCAUAUGAGGUGCCAAGCUUUGAGCGAGCAAGAAUAUCUCAUUGUUUGGAUGAGGACAACUGCCUUGCCAUAGUUUAGAAAACUCUAUGGGAGAAUUGAGAGAGACCUCGCAGCCAAUGAACAAAUCUCAAUGACAAUAGAGAACAACUACAACACUUACAGUUUUGAAGGGGAGAAGAGGUUGGUACUUUCUACUACCUCAUGGAUAGGUGGGAAGAAUGGUUUCAUUGGUGUUGCAUAUCUUACAAUCGGUAGCCUUUGCAUAUUUCUUGUGGUAGCCUUCAUAGUUCUUUAUCUGCUCAAGCCCUGGUAAGUAUCUCGCUCCUCUUUAGCAUUUAUGGUGCGCAGUACAAUGAAUACAUUUUUCUAUAGUUGAUAAGCAAAAAUUAGGUUAACAAGGCUUGACUUGGAACUAAUAGACUUGUUGCUCCGAUUCAUUUCAACUUCGAUGUUACCUAGUCACAACUCAUGCAAGUUGGUUCACUUGUUGUUGCAGGACCCUUGGAGAUCCAUCGUACUUAUCUUGGAACAAAAACCCAGAUGGACAUUAGUGAAACUUUAAGCUUAUGUUGCAUUCAAAAGUUGGUAAAGUUACAAAUUUAGUUGCCCUAAAUCAAAGUCUGUCAAUCAUGUGCAAACAAUUUUCUUUGAGAAUUCUGUUAUCUGUAACUUCAAUAGAGACCAAAGGAAAUACAAUGUUAGAUUAUUGUGCAAAUUGAACAGUCACGUCUGUCAUGUUGACAAUAGUAUCAUCAUUUUAGGAAUUAUGUACCUAGUUUU